rnacentral:rRNA from 1 species
CCAAUAGCGUAUAUUAAAGUUGUUGCAGUUAAAAAGCUCGUAGUUGAAUUUCGAGAUCAAUUUUCUUGGUCAUACCUUUGUAUGUACUGGUCUUAUUGAUUUCUCCCUUCUGAUGAACCAUGAUGUCAUUAAUUUGGUGUUAUGGGGAAUCAGGACUAUUACUUUGAAAAAAUUAGAGUGUUUAAAGCAGGCUCACGCUUGAAUACAUUAGCAUGGAAUAAUGAAAUAGGACGUUUGAUUCUAUUUUGUUGGUUUCUAGGAUUGACGUAAUGAUUAAUAGGGAUAGUUGGGGGCAUUAGUAUUCAAUUGUCAGAGGUGAAAUUCUUGGAUUUAUUGAAGACUAACUACUGCGAAAGCAUUUGCCAAAGAUGUUUUCAUUAAUCAAGAACGAAAGUUAGGGGAUCGAAGACGAUCAGAUACCGUCGUAGUCUUAACCAUAAACUAUGCCGACUAGGAAUCGGAUGAUGUUAAUUUUUUAAUGACUCAUUCGGCGCCUUACA